CAGGCUUUGGUCUCUGGAGGAAAGUAAAGAGUUAAGGGCAGAUCAGCUGGCUGCUGCUCCUCCCCCAUCAGAGUACCGUAAGCCAAAUGCUGGGGAGACUGCCUCCUCCUGUAGCUGCCCAAGGCGUGAUCGCCCAAAGAACGAGCCGGCGAGACACGGCCAGGAUGAUGAUAUCGUGGCUCAGGACUGGAGGAGGCUGGGCCACUGGACUGUCUAGCCGUAUGCUUCCCUCCACCAGGACUCCCAGGGCAGUGGCCCCUCUUGCCGCUCUGAGGGCGCUGGAGCUGGUGGGCUCAGGAUGGACCAAUGCGCCUAAAAGGACCAGCUCAUGACAACAAAGCUCCCGGGGUAGAGUGCCAUGGAAGACACUGGUGCUGGAGCAAGGAGGACUGGGGAUUCGGUCACAGACCCAGAUGAGGGGGCAGACACCUCCAGGAACACAGGGUACAGAUAUUGCCACCCUUUCUCUGUUCAGUCCUGCAGGGGCUUGGUGUGGAGAGAGUGCUAAGCCCUGGGUGUGAGUUGACACCAGGGAGAGUCCGCGGAGAGGCCUGGGCCAGACACACUAUUCAAAGGGCAGGCUCAGGGAAAGAGACUUGACUUCAGGGAUUCCCUUGAAGUGACUUGUGGCACCAUGCUUUCCCAGGAAGGUAGCACCUUUGAUUGAACCCUCUGUUCCUUCCGUCCCAUUAGCGUACUGGUAGCGGGCGCGAUGCCCCCAUCCGGCCCUAUCCCUUCCUGAUUUUUCAUGGCCUCCCUGCUCUACGCGUGGUCCUCAGACCAGCAGCACCAACAGCUCCUGGAGACUCUGGCCUGUCGGAUCAAGGCUGCUGCUGCUUCCCACCAUGAGCUCCCUAAGCCUCCACCGUCCGCCGGGAGAGCCCCGCACCUGCUCCCAAGGGUAGGCAAAGGAAGCCGACAGAGGUGCCGGGGAGGGGUGCGGCUCACCCAAUAAGAAGUUGAAAUUGAAGAGAAUGCCACUCUCGUCGCCAUUUUGACCAUGCUCUUCGGAUAAUCCUGUGGGAGUGUGGAGAGAGCCUCGGAUCCAGCUCAGGGGAGGGGCAACUGCAGACGGCCUCCCUUGAUGUGAGACCCCCCCCCCACACACACACAAAAUGACCCUCGCAGGUGAAGUCAGGUUUGUGCCACCUUAGAGCCCCCAGUGGUGCUGGUUUAGCAGGGACCCCAAGUCUCAUCACUGGAGGAUAAUUGGGGGGCGGGGGGCCGGGACCUACAGAUAAUGGGCACAAAGUUACCAGACCCCAGCCCUGGAAACAGGAGACUGGAAGCCAGGCAAAUUUGGAUUCGAACUCUGGUUCUGAAUCACCAAGAAAGUCUGUGGUCCUCAGCUUCUCCAUCUGUCAAAUGGGGACAAUGAAACAAAGUUCUAAGGGCCGCUGUGGGGGUUACCCAAAACCUGGUUCCCACAGGGCUCAACUCUAACUGCCCUACUGCUUUCUGGCCCCAGGAGAAGCUCAACAAAUCCUUGCUGGUUGACUGAAGAGAGAGCACUUACUGAUGCUGUUCCAAAUGAAGACUUCAGGAAAAGUAUGUGACUGGCAGCUUUGCCACAGGCAUCACGGUCACGGCCAGAACCCCAAGUUAGUGCACCCACAAAAAAGGACAACUCUCCCAGAAGUGAGGCCCAUCUCCUGAUGAGUGAGGGACCAGAGCGUGUCACCGGGCCUUGACAUGCCCUUGGGGCAUUCCUGGAUUAAGUGCAGUGCCCAUCACUUUAAACAGUAGUGAUUUGCACAAAUGCCUUUAUUGAUCCAAAAGGAUUUAAUGGCUCCCUAAGAUCAUUUUUAAGCUUCUGCCCGUGAAAGACUUGACAUGAGGGAGGGAAUUCUAAUCACUAUCUUCUGAAGUGGCUCCAGCAAGUUGACCUGUGCAAAAGGGGCCAAAACUCCAGGUCUUUUGUGAGGGUGACACCCAUGCAAGGGUCGGCCCAGAAUUUCUUGGUGGAGGGAGUGCACCGUCAGACCUGCCAAGACUAGAAAGUGCCCCGUGCCUUUUCUGCAGGCCAAGCUGGGGAGGAUCGAGUACCUGUUCACUGCUGAAUGCCCAAUGCCUGACACAUAGCAGGGGCUCCCCAGAGAUGUGGGGGGGGGGGAGAUGACUCAUUCCUUGAAUGCCAAGUGUUUAGACGUCUGAACCCCAUGGCUCAGUCGGUAAAGCAUCCAACUUUGGCUCAGGUCAUGAUCUCGUGGUCCGUGAGUUCGAGCCCCGCAGCAGGCUCUGUGCUGACAGUUUAGAGCCUGGAGCCUGUUUCAGAUGCUGUGUUUCCCUCUCUCUCUGACCCUCCCCUGUUCAUGCUCUGUCUCUCUCUGUCUCAAAAAUAAAUAAACGUUAAAAAAAUAUUUUAGAAGUCUGAACCCCAGCUACGACAGGCGCAGGCACCUACAGGAGAGAGGUAACAACUCCCCAAGGUGCCUCGUAGCUGCCAGAUUCAUGGGCCAGUUCAUGACCACAGUUUAAGUCCUGGCCCCUGGAUCUAACUUUAAAUAUGUUUGAAAGAGUGGCAAUUUCCCAUGCUCCUGCCCUUUUCCCCUCCACUCCCCCAAGGGCCUUUUGGAGCCUAGUGACUAAAAACAGAUGAGAACUGGGCUAAAGUCAAGGGAAGCUGACCUUAGGCAUGUUUCGGGGUAAAGGGAGCAUCCUGCUUUGCUCUCUGGUCUGAGCUGGGGCACAAGCUGACCUUGAGCAAGACAAUUGGCCUGUUUCCUUGUCUGUAAAUUGGGAAUGGUUUUCUCUCCUUACUGGGUGGUGACAGAAAGGAAAUGAGACAAUACGAAUCAUGCACCGUGUGCAAGGUUCAUAGCGGCCCUCUUCUCUCUACUUGGCCAGGUGCCCUGGCUGACAGGGAGUAGAAGCAUCUGGAAGCAUUGGGCCGGUUCCUGCAUCCCUGACCCUGGACCCCAAGGGACAGCGUCCAGGCAAGAAGCAGGGAAGAUCAUUUACAAGAUUACCCUCCUGGCAGGCUGAGCCCCUGUCCUGACCCUAGGCACUGCCCAGGGGGAUUUGGGGUGUCCCCCGCUCCCAGAGAAGGGAGUGGCUCUGUGAUCUGUCCCACGUUGCUGCCUGCUAUCCCAGGGCAAGGCCAAGUGAGGACGUCCAACUCUAGCUCACACACCGUACUAGCUGGGCAGUCAAGGGUUUCACCUCUACACCCAGGAACGACUCCAGCCCUAAUGCCCCCAGGGUCUGGGACAUGGAGCCCGUCCCCAUGAAAUGGCCUCAUAAGCAGCCGAGACUCAUUCUGAUACACUGGAUGUUGUGUCCAAAUUUCUCCCGCUGUUACUUCCCUUAUGCAACCACAUUCUAAACACAGACAGUGUUUGGGGGCCAGAAGCCUCUGUCCUCCUUGUCUGUUCUCCAGGCUAAAUAUACCCCAGCUUGUUGAAAAGGGAACACAGAGGUAAGACCCAGAUGUGUGCAGGGUCCGGUGUGUGUGGGAGGGGGUAUCUGGCAGGGGGAUCCAGUGCUCUUACAUUCCAGGGGGUGGGGCUGUCAUCUUCCACAUGCCUGUCUAUACUCAAAGACUCGGAUGCCUCAUGCUGCCUGCUUUGAUGCUUUUGCGAAUCUCUCCAGCAGGAGUUUGGUGCCAUCAAAUAAAUCCUUGGAACAGUCCACGGGCUGAGCUCUGGGAGAGGAGGCAUGAGGCCAGGACUUGGCCCUGGGAAGCCCGCUCCUCUGCCUCAGUUUUCUCGGGUGGGGGUGGUGUCGGAGAACUUGUUAGAACACACAGACCUCACCCAACCCAGGACCUAUCCUGAGCUCUUCUCCUUAAACCUGAUGGGGAAGGAGCCACACAGGUAUCGCUAAGUAAAACAACCAAAUUAAAGCCAAACCCACAAAAACAAAAAAGCAAACCAAAAGAACAAAGCCGACAGAAAGCACAGAGAGGUGUAUUCUCAUCUGUGUGAAACACAGGAACGAAUGGAGGGUGCGUGGGCAGAGAUGGACACUCGGGCUGUCUGUCUCCUCUGGGCCGGGAGACUGCUUGCUGCAUAGCCUCAUCUUUCAAAGUUUGAAGUACAUGAAUGUGAUAUUCUAACGAUGUUUAAAUUUUAAACAGAGAUUCUCCUAAACUCUUUCAGGAAGGUUGUCAGACAAGACUAGAUGUGUGCGGGGUAAUCAAGUCAUCUGGGGGCGGGUAGGCAAAUGAAUCACAGAGUCCGUCAGGCAAAAUUGCCCAAGACCCAGGGGCAGCAACAGAUUUCAUGGUGGGGAGGAUGUGUCCUUAGGUCUGGGGGCAACAAGAAAUCCAAUUUGUCUCGGUUAAUAAGAGGAGACCAGCACCCCCCAGGGAUGGCUGGCUCCUGAUGUGACAAGGUGAUCUAUUAGCACAGGGCUCGGAGAGGUCACGGCGGUGGCCUCGCCCAGAAGUUCCACCUCCGCCAGUGACUCUGAGAGGAAGCCUUGUGGCCCACCUCCGGGUCCUGCUACCAUGACCCCCUUGUGCACUGUAUCCGGAAAGCCCCACGCUCUCCAGCAUGUCUCUAAGGGAAAACAUCCACGGCAGAACACGCCUAUUUUCUUCUGUGGGGAAACAUCCUAGAUGGAGAAUGGACAACCCCGGAUUCAAAUCAAUCGCACAAGCUGUGCGAUCCUGGGGAGUCACUCACCCUGCGCCAGCCUCAGCGUUCCCUGUUCACAGAACAAGGUUGCGACCUCUCCCUAGCGCCCGGGACAGCACAGGACAGCACAUGUUUGACACUCAGUGAACUGAGGAAAUCUUCCUGAAUCAGACCACGUGGAUGCAGCUCCUCUGUGGUCCUGAUCUUGCUUAUUCUACUUGGACAAGGACCCUUGAGUGAUUUGGCCUCGAGUUACAAUCCUGGCAGGAGCUGUCCAGGAGGUCAUGCCUCCUCUUGCGUGUUGAAAUGACCGGGAAGUAGCCCAUCUGUGCGUUCAUUCCCUGUGGUUCUGUGAAUUACCUUUAUUUCUUUCCACGCCAGGGUGGCUUCUGCCUCCACUGUUGUCCUCUCACACAGCACUGAAAUUUACUCAUGAUAGUUGACUUCAGUAAGUGGGUGGCGAUUUCCUUACAAUGGAGUAAAAUUCUAUUCUUCAGCAAA